CAGCAGCCGCGGGAAUACGAAGGGGGCUAGCGUUGUUCGGAUUUACUGGGCGUAAAGGGCGCGUAGGCGGAUUUGUAAGUCAGGGGUGAAAUCCCGAGGCUCAACCUCGGAACUGCCCUUGAUACUGUGGAUCUUGAGUCCGGGAGAGGUGAGUGGAACUGCGAGUGUAGAGGUGAAAUUCGUAGAUAUUCGCAAGAACACCAGUGGCGAAGGCGGCUCACUGGCCCGGAACUGACGCUGAGGCGCGAAAGCGUGGGGAGCAAACAGGAUUAGAUACCCGUGUAGUCCCUGUCUCUUAUAC
rnacentral:rRNA from 1 species